AUGGGCUCAGGAGUGCAAGUUGCUGAUGAAGUAUGUCGCGAUUAACAUGAAAAGUUAGAAAUGCUCCACACCAGAAGAAAUCAAAAAAAGAAAGAAGGCAUGUUUUGUCUCAGUGCAGACAAAAAGUGCAUCAUUGUAGAAAAGGCAAAGAGAUCUUGGUUGGAGAUGUUGGUGUAACCAUAACUGAUCCUUUCAAGAAUUUUGUGGGAAUGCUUCCUGAAAAAGAUUGUCACUAUGCUUUAUAUGAUGCAAGCUUUGAAACCAAGGAAUCCAGAAAAGAAGAGUUGAUGUUUUUUUUGUGGGCACCAGAACUUGCACCUCUGAAAAGUAAAAUGAUCUAUGCAAGCUCCAAGGAUGCAAUCAAAAAGAAAUUUCAAGGCAUAAAACAUGAAUGUCAAGCAAAUGGGCCAGAAGACCUCAAUCAGGCUUGUAUUGCUGAAAAGUUAGGUGGGUCCUUAAUUGUAGCCUUUGAAGGAUGUCCUGUGUAGAUCAUUCAGUGCCACAAAUUGAAAGCUUCCAUGUUUAAUGUUAUCCUCUUGCUAUAUAAAUAAAGCAAAAAUAUAUUUAGGCCAGG